UAUCCUGGAAACGAGGUUGGGGAAAAUUUUCCCGCCAAGUUUCAAGGUUCCUCUCUCCAUAGUAUGAUUGGUCAGCUCAUCCCAUGUGAUUAGUUUUUUCUCUCAAACAAAUAUGGCGGACAGCAAGAGUUUGGUUGCCAUAUUCUUUCAUUGUUUCGCGGGAGCUAUUCCAUGGCGAGCGAAUCCAUUGUUUUGUGACAUCAGCUCAGGAUAACAACAACAGCACAACGAACUUUCAUGUUUUGCUACAAACAAUGACUUCUCCAGUCCUCAGUUUUACUAUGAUCUUAAAGGGACUCGUACCGUAAUUUCUGGAAGUUGCAAAACCUUACAUCUAAAUUUGAUUAUUAAUUCACUGAAUUUUCCCCUUACAUACAUCUAAAGAUUAUACUGAUUAUACUGUCCAGUCACUGCCAUGCCUCCCACAGAGUUCUUUGUAUUAAGAUUGCAGAAAACCACUGUUCUUAGAUCGCUAAUACCCCACUAUAUCCAUGUUUGAUGCCUCAUCAAGUGAAGAAGACUCUAAGAACAUUUAUGACGCUCACACGUGGCCAUACCCUUAUCUUCAAAAGCAACCAACAGUAAAUAAGUCUGGCUGGUGCCCAUGCCCAGCUUUCAAUAAAAUCACUGGACAGGUAUAUUUGGAGGUUGAUUUGGGCAUGGACAUGGACAUCACUGGAAUUGCUACACAAGCAGAGAGUUAUCAGAAGUGAUUCUGGACAGAAAAAUACACUCUAAAUUUCAGUAGAGAUGGAGUUAAUUUUUUUUGCCUACACACCUCCUUUGGAUGGCAAAAAUACUGCUAGUGAGGAACACAAAGGGAUUCCAAAAGAAAUGAGGAUCCUCAACUUACAGUGCGGACCAAGAAAAUGAGGUUAGUAAGAUAUUUAUUGUAUCUCCACUGUGUGCCUGACGGGUUCAUUAAGGAUUUGAGCGGCUUCAAAUUCUGACGCACCUCGAAAGCAAAACAAGCCAAUUUGAAAUCAUUUUUGAGUUGAUAGCAUGCUUUGAUACGCAAUUUUGAGUAAAAGACAGUUUUAAACUUUUACUUGCUAUGAACGUUACAACACUUGGCGAUAAAUCAUGGAACAGUUUGGCGACAAUGCAAAAACAGCUUUAAAUUUUAGCGAGCUGCACAGGAAAAUAUGGCCCACUAAAUUGACCAAUCACGGCCCACGUACUGACUGAGAGAUAUAAUAUAAUCGUAGCCUGUACAGGCUUCUGCUGCCUAUAAUAUAAAACAGAAAUAGUAAAAACAGUCUCUUCAAUGUGAGAGAACAGAAACUUGCGAUGAAUGCCAGUAUAAACUAACUGUGUAUUCUUAUCUUACAGAUGUAUCUUACUGUGAGUCUGGGGAAAAUUGUCAAACAUAGCUGGUUUAUAUAUCCAAAACAAGCAACGUUUGAAAAAAUAAUUUCAGUUGUACAUCCUUCUGUUCCUCGAACUUAGGUUCGUAGAGAUCCUGUUACAAUGUUGUCGCUACUGCAGCACUUUCACUUGUCAAGCAUAUUCACCUUUUUGUCCAGCUUUUUGCGUAACUUAUAGACGUGUUAUUUGUCACGCAACAUGACAAAUACCAGUGUAAUUAUCCCCAGUGUGUUGGCCAUUCCGUGAUUGAAGCGACAUACACACGUUUUUACAUUUUCUGUCUCGCAAGUAUUUUUUUAUCAUUUUACAAAAAUUAUUUGUGUAAAGUAAGGGUAAUAAAAAAUUAUUGUCAGAGUCCUUAGCAGCCUUGAUAAUGCAUUGGCAAGAUUUUUUUUUCUUUUUCUACGGCUGGCAACUUGAUCGCAAUGGGACUUGUUAUCAAAAAGGAACCAAAUUCAAUUCAAUGUCAACUGAGUUCGAAUACAUUCCAUUUGCGUUCAAAAAAAACAACAACAACAGAGAGGCAUAGAGACCUUGGACUCACGGCACGGCGGUCUUCUUGCCUAUUCCACAUUUUUUUGUAGAUUUUAUCCCCAUUUAUUGUUGUUCUAUCAAGGUUUUAGUAUUUUAUUUUUAAGGACUUUUAAGUUCAGA